rnacentral:rRNA from 1 species
GACGAACGCUGGCGGCGUGCUUAACACAUGCAAGUCGAACGGUGAAGCUCCAGCUUGCUGGAGUGGAUCAGUGGCGAACGGGUGAGUAACACGUGAGCAACCUGCCCCUGACUCUGGAAUAAGCGCUGGAAACGGCGUCUAAUACUGGAUACGAGAAGGGUCCGCAUGGGCACUUUCUGGAAAGUUUUUCGGUUGGGGAUGGGCUCGCGGCCUAUCAGCUUGUUGGUGAGGUAAUGGCUCACCCAGGCGACGACGGGUAGCCGGCCUGAGAGGGCGACCGGCCACACUGCGCCUGCGAGACGGCCCAGACUCCUACGGGAGGCAGCAGUGGGGAAUAUUGCACAACGGGCGCAAGCCUGUUGCAGCGGCGCCGCGUGAGUGAUGACGGCCUUCGGGUUGUAAACCUCUUUCAGCAGGGAAGAAGCGAUAGUGACGGUACCUGCAGAAGAAGCACCGGCUAACUACGUG